rnacentral:lncRNA from 1 species
GUGUUAGUUAGGCAAGAGAGCUUGCCAGAUGUCUUAUUUUAUUUAGAGAUAAAGAGGAGACCGAAUGCUCUCAAGCCUCCCUGGUGACCACGGCCCACUCAGAAGAGCAAAAUUGCCUUCCUCCGGGCCUAUGGUGUUGGGAUCAGAGGAGAGAGAAAGUUCCUGUCAAUGACGUGUUCUGAAAGUCCAUCGAAUCUUGCUCACCUCUCUGCCUGCUCUAGGGAAGAAUGCCAUUUAGACCAGAUCAAACUGACGAAGUGCCCGCUCUCAAGAUCAACCUAAAGGAAGCUAAGCAAAUGAAGUGAUGAUUCCACACUCAGAAGCAACGAAUUAGAUGAAAACCUUGACACCAACCUGGAUAAUUAAACAAACAUCUACUUAUUCCUCCCCUCAUGAAUGAAUAAAUGCAAGAAUGAGAGACAUUCAAUCCUACUUGCUAAUAUUCAUCUUCCUCCAUUCUAUGUUCCCCUCACACGGCCCUAAAUUUGCUCUCCUAGCAAAUCUCUAUUCCCACGUUUGUCUGGAAGAUUUCAGUACCAUCUUUUACCCAGCUGCAUCUUUCUAUCACCUGCCCUUUCCCAUGGUGAAUCUAUCUUUUUUACAUUUUCAAUUUGGUCUCUUAUUUUAUCAAUUUGACUAAAACCUGGAUUUCUGUCAUGAGAGUCCCUUACCAACCUUGUCCAGCAGAGGUCACUCUUCUUGCUCAUGGGCUGAGGUGAGGGGGUUGCCUCCCUGAACUCUGCUAAUUCCAGGCUAUCCUUCUACUACUUCUCUUCUGAAGUCCAGCAUCCACUCAUGGCAGCCUCUCUCCAUCUCUUCCACCCUCACUCCAUAUCUUGCCGAGCACACGUCCAUCUUCCUCAGUGACUUCAGUGUCUGUGUCUCAUACACUAA